CACGUAGGAUCCAAGUGUUAUCCGGAAUUAUUGGGCGUAAAGCGCGCGCAGGCGGUUUCUUAAGUCUGAUGUGAAAGCCCACGGCUCAACCGUGGAGGGUCAUUGGAAACUGGGGAACUUGAGUGCAGAAGAGGAGAGUGGAAUUCCACGUGUAGCGGUGAAAUGCGUAGAGAUGUGGAGGAACACCAGUGGCGAAGGCGACUCUCUGGUCUGUAACUGACGCUGAGGCGCGAAAGCGUGGGGAGCGAACAGG
rnacentral:misc_RNA from 1 species